CCUACGGGUGGCAGCAGUGAGGAAUAUUGGUCAAUGGCCGGAAGGCUGAACCAGCCAUGCCGCGUGAAGGUCAGUGCCCUAUGGGCGUUAAACUUCUUUUGUGCGGGAGCAAUAAUGGUCACGUGUGGCCAGACGAGAGUACCGUACGAAUAAGCAUCGGCUAACUCCGUGCCAGCAGCCGCGGUAAUACGGGGGAAGCAAGCGUUAUCCGGAUUUAUUGGGUUUAAAGGGUGCGUAGGCUGUGAGGUAAGUCAGCGGUGAAAUGCCCCCGCUCAACGGGGUGAAGUGCCAUUGAUACUGCCUGGCUGGAAUGCGGAUGCCGUGGGAGGAAUGUGUGGUGUAGCGGUGAAAUGCAUAGAUAUCACACAGAACACCGAUUGCGAAGGCAUCUCACGAAGCCGCGAUUGACGCUGAUGCACGAAAGCGUGGGUAUCAAACAGGAUUAGAUACCCUUGUAGUC
rnacentral:rRNA from 1 species